rfam:Schistosoma rodhaini strain Burundi genome assembly, scaffold: SROB_scaffold0001705
AUCCACCUGAUGAGUCCCAAAUAGAACGAAAUGCGCGUCAAACUGGAU